UGGCUCAGGAUGAACGCUAGCGGCAGGCYUAAUACAUGCAAGUCGAACGGGUGGUAGCAAUACCACUAGUGGCGCACGGGUGCGUAACGCGUAACCAACCUGCCCUUGACUGGGGGAUAGCCCGCCGAAAGGCGGAUUAAUACCGCAUAAACCAACAGCCCGGCAUCGGGUAAUUGGUAAAGAUUUAUUGGUCAAGGAUGGGGUUGCGUAGCAUUAGCUAGUUGGCGGGGUAAUAGCCCACCAAGGCGACGAUGCUUAGGGGACCUGAGWGGGUGAUCCCCCACACUGGCACUGAGAUACGGGCCAGACUCCUACGGGAGGCAGCAGUAGGGAAUAUUGGGCAAUGGGCGAGAGCCUGACCCAGCCAUGCCGCGUGCCGGAUGAAGGCCUUCUGGGUUGUAAACGGCUUUUCUCAGGGAAGAAAAAGACCAUGCGUGGUACACUGACGGUAC
rnacentral:rRNA from 1 species